AUUGAACGCUGGCGGCAGGCCUAACACAUGCAAGUCGAGCGAGCGGCGGACGGGUGAGUAAGGCCUAGGAAUCUGCCUGGUCGUGGGGGAUAAAGUCCGGAAACGGAAGCUAUUGCCACAUACCCUCAGAUGAACCUAUAUGGGAUUAGCUUGUAGGUGAGGUAACGGCUCACCUAGGCGACGAUCCCUAGCUGGUCUGAGAGGAUGAUCAGCCACACUGGGACUGAGACACGGCCCAGACUCCUACGGGAGGCAGCAGUGGGGAAUAUUGCACAAUGGGCGCAAGCCUGAUGCAGCCAUGCCGCGUGUAUGAAGAAGGCCUUCGGGUUGUAAAGUACUUUCAGUCGGGAGGCGUUACCGACAGAAGAAGCACCGGCUAACUCCGUGCCAGCAGCCGCGGUAAUAC
rnacentral:rRNA from 1 species